AGUUCAAACAAAACAAAGAAAAGUAGUACAUUGUUGGCCCAAAACCUAAUUUGAUCCUUCUUCUCUUUCCACUUUUUUCAGUUCUCCAUUUCUGCAUCUUUAUCCGCCGCCCUUGAUGUUCUUCAAUGAUGAAGACUGUUGAAAAAUUCAGUUGUCAAAGGUGUACUAUCCGGUAAGAGUUCUUGUCAAGCUCUCAAAAGGGUGUGAGCCUAGUAUUCAGCUUUGUAGAUCUUUAUUUUGUUAUUUUGCUUGGUGUCGGAGAGUUUAUUAUAUGACCGUGUCUGUUUUUACGAUCUUUGCAAUGUCAGAGUGCUUAGAGGUUGUUUAAUGAAGAAGUAUUGGAGGCAAAGAUAAUUGAAUUUUAUGGACUACUUAAGGUAAUAUACUUAUACUAUAGCUUGAUGGAUGGAAUAUUUUACGCAAAUGUGUUGUUGGAAAUGACAAUUGAUGCCUAUGGACUACCUAAGUUGCCUCCACUUAGUGAAAAUAUGGCGGAUACGGUAGCACAUGCUCGAACGGCUACGCAGACUGCUCUUGAAACCACUGACACUACCCCGGUCAAGUCUAUCCCGAGUAGUAGCACUGCCCCUACCUCCUCUCGCUCAUCCCCGUUCCCCGCUUUGGUCCCGCUUGUUAGAGUCCAGAGACUAGAGGUUCAGAUGGCCACACUUCUGCAUCACAUCCAUCCUUGGAUGCAAAGGUCUCUUGCUGAGGCGGAGGAGCGCUUGGAGCGUAAAAUGGUCUAGCACUUGAAGCGGAAGAUCGCUGAGGUUCAUCAGCGCUUAGACGCUUUUGAGUUGCGGGUGCUAGCCCGGCCUGCCCCUCAGGUGGACGUGUCGACCCUUCAGGCUGCGGUUGAGAGUCUGCGAGAAGAUAUUGAUAUGAUCCUAGAGGCUAGGGUACUUGAGUCUGAAGCCCCUUCUGCAGAGCCUGCUGAGGAUACAGUGAUGACUGCCUUAUUCGCCACUUCUGAGAUUCCAUCACCUCCUCCUCGAGAGCAUGCCAAGAGGCGUAGGGGUCGAGAGGAGUAUGAUGCUAGAGCACAGAAGAAGGAGCGCCGUGAGAUGGAGGCUGCGAGGAGAGCCUUGCUUGCUGAUGAGGAGGCGCAUCGGAUCAGAGUUGCAGAGUCGGCUGCUGGGGCAUCUAGCUCCAAAGAUGUGGAGACAGUAGGAGGCACUACUGAUAGUGCUGUUGCUGAUGAGGACACUAUUGAGGGUGUUCAUACUACAUAUGAAAUGGGUUUCGGGGACUCGGACGCACCAGCUUGCUGAUCGCCAGUGCUUUGCGCCCCAGUGACUGGUAAUGUAAGUAGCUGUAUUUGCUAAAUGUUUUAGCGACGAAAUGAAUGUCCCAUCGAUCCCUUUCAGAAGUGAAUAUCUUCGCUCAAUGUAUGCAACAAGAAUGAUGAUCCUACAAGGCUAAAUGGUGUCUUCUUCAUUACAUUGUCAGAUGAUGAACUGAAUAAUGUAGAAUAAUAGUAAAAAUACCCCCAAGUGUUUUGGAUUAUUUCUUUCCAGGUUAACAUUAUAUUUAUAAGUAAUUCAUACUUCUAAAUUUGAAGAGUUUUUAUGUCGCUUUUAAAUUCGUUUUCAAUACAUUUUAAUACGUUAUUAA